AGCAGCCGCGGUAAUUCCAGCUCUAAUAGCGUAUAUUAAAGUUGUUGCAGUUAAAAAGCUCGUAGUUGAAUUUCGGGAUCAGUAUGUUGGUCGUGCUUCGGUACGUACUGUCAUUACUGGUUUCUACCUUCUGAAGAACCUUGAUGUCAUUAAUUUGGUGUCUUGGGGAAUCAGGACUGUUACUUUGAAAAAAUUAGAGUGUUUAAAGCAAGCAUACGCUUGAAUACAUUAGCAUGGAAUAAUGAAAUAGGACGUUUGAUUCUAUUUUGUUGGUUUCUAGGAUCGACGUAAUGAUUAAUAGGGAUAGUUGGGGGCAUUAGUAUUCAAUUGUCAGAGGUGAAAUUCUUGGAUUUAUUGAAGACUAACUACUGCGAAAGCAUUUGCCAAGGAUGUUUUCAUUAAUCAAGAACGAAAGUUAGGGGAUCGAAGACGAUCAGAUACCGUCGUAGUCUUAACCAUAAACUAUGCCGACUAGGGAUCGGAUGAUGUUAUUUUUAAUGACUCAUUCGGCGCCUUAAC
rnacentral:rRNA from 1 species